CGGACGGGUGAGUAAUGUCUGGGAAACUGCCUGAUGGAGGGGGAUAACUACUGGAAACGGUAGCUAAUACCGCAUAACGUCGCAAGACCAAAGAGGGGGACCUUCGGGCCUCUUGCCAUCGGAUGUGCCCAGAUGGGAUUAGCUAGUAGGUGGGGUAACGGCUCACCUAGGCGACGAUCCCUAGCUGGUCUGAGAGGAUGACCAACCACACUGGAACUGAGACGCGGUCCAG
rnacentral:rRNA from 1 species